rnacentral:ncRNA from 1 species
UGCAGGCAAGCGUGAGGUUUGUAGAGGUUGCUGGAGACAGCGACAGCCCUUGACGGGCGGGAUCCUCGAACUCAGGGCCUGCUUUUUU